rnacentral:rRNA from 1 species
AAUGAACGCUGGCGGCGCGCCUAAUACAUGCAAGUCGAGCGAGAAGACGUAGCAAUACGUUUGUAAAGCGGCGAACGGGUGAGGAAUACAUGGGUAACCUACCCUCGAGUGGGGAAGUAACUAGCCGAAAGGUUAGCUAAUACCGCGUACGCUUCUUGGACUUCGGUUCAGGGAGGAAAGCGAUGCCGAGGGUAUCGCGCUCUUGGAUGGGCUCAUGUCCUAUCAGCUUGUUGGGAGGUAACGGCUCACCAAGGCUUCGACGGGUAGCUGGUCUGAGAGGACGAUCAGCCACACUGGCACUGCGACACGGGCCAGACUCCUACGGGAGGCAGCAGUAAGGAAUAUUGCGCAAUGGGCGAAAGCCUGACGCAGCGACGCCGCGGUGGGGGAGUGAA